CUUCCUGCCCCUCCCCCUCCCCUGCUUUCCGUGAAUCAGAUCUUCGCAGGAAGUCUGAAAAGAAGCAGGGGCAGGUGGGCAGCAGCAGCAGAUCGGGGAAACUGAAGAUAGGGUGGUGAGUGACUUAACAUGAACAUGAUUUUUCUUACCCAUUCUGAGAAGGGUGGAAGUUGAAGGACUCUCUCCCUAAACUGGUGUCGGAUUACAUGAACAAGAAGUGUAACCGAGAUGCAUUAACCCACGCUUUGCCUUUUGAUAAAAUCAAUGAAGGGUUCGAACUGCUGUGGGCAGGGAAAGUAUUCUCAGCAUUCUGUUUUAAGCCGCUGAGCGAUGAGAAGUGGGGUCUGAGCAGCACAGCACUGCUCCUCCAGAAUCACCUGUCUGACUCCUUCCCCUUACUCAAAACUUUUAUUAGUGUGUUGGUUUUACAGUCUUUGCUUCUAGAGCUGUAUAAAUUGGGUCUAUCUGAACCUGGAAAUACCUGAAUAGAUUUAGGAAUUCUUUUUGUUUCGGACUAAGAAUUCAAACCUCUGCCCAUAGCUUUGAGGUGUGUGAAAGAGCAGAGCAUGUAGGAGGGAAGGUAUCCUAGAGAGGUCUGCUUCCACAUUAUUCAGAAUUCAACUAAAUUAACCAUUCCCAUCAAUUACACUAGCUCUCUCAGCUAAUUUAGUCUAGCCCCUGCCUCAAGACAGGGCCUGUAACCUACCCUGUCAACCUCCUUUCUUCUUUCGGCUUAGAAGGUGUUGUCCACCAGCAAGCUUAGCAACUCCAGGGAUCCUUUCCCUGACUCAGCCUCCUAAGAAGUGAGCUAUCAUGAGGUUGAAAGCAGCUUGGGUCCGGCCCACGGAUGCUGGCUGAGGGCCUGGGGAAUUAGCUCCAGGACUGAGCACUCACUUUCAUGUGAGUGGCCGCAUGAGCGAGGCCUACAUUCUCCAGCCUGCUCUGUAGCAGCAGGGGCAACCAGCCCUCUUUUGUUGCUCUGGUCUGCUUUGCUCAAGACCCCAGAGCCCUCUCUGUGCCAUCCUGGCACAGGGCAGGUCACACAAAAGCGGGGGGGGAGAAUUAGCUCAGGCAGUAAAGAGCUUGCUUUACAUGUGAGAAGUAGGUGGAUUGAUGCCUGUACUCUCCACAGGGUGGGAUGAGGACUUCCUCUACUCCCUGCAAAGCAGCUAGCCUACUUGCUUCCCUCUUUUUUGCCCCCUCUCCCCAGAGCAGUCAGCAAAAACCAAAAAGCCACCCUUCUGAGGCCUGCAGUCACCAAGUGACCACCAUGGGGAAUCAAACCCACAACAUUGGCAUUAUUGGUACCAAACUCAAGCCAGCACACAGGAAGCAUGCUUCCCCCUGGAUGUUUUGGAAAGAAGCAACAGCCUGCUAAGAGAACUUUGUGGCCAAUCUCAUGAUAUGGGUGGGGUGGAGCUAGUCUCCAGUCAGGGGUCUGAGUCACUACAGGAUAAAUGUAGAGGCAGUCUGGUAACAUAGGGUCACUGAGAGCAGGACUUGUGGUCAUGCAGAGGUCAAACAGGAACAGUGUGGAGGCAGAGAAGUCACAAGUUGACAGAGAAAAGGGCUGAUGGUAGUGGGAGAUCAUGCACAGGUCCCUGAGGACCAGGGCAGAGGCAAUAGAGUCACAGAGAGCAGCACUGGUCCUACUGGGGGUCAUGUAGAGGUCAAUUAGAAUCAAUUUGGAAGGAGAGGGAUCAAAGACACAGAGCUGAGGACUGGGUAGUGGGGGCUAAUACACAGAUCAAUGAAAAUCAACUUGGAGGCAGUGGGGUCACCCAAGUUCACAGAACAGGGAUGGUUGUACUUGAGGUCAUGCAGACGUUAAUGAGGAUCAAUUUUGGAGGAAGAUGGGUCACAAGGUCAGAGGACUGGUGGUACUGAUUGAUCAGGCACAGGUCAAUUAGCAUCAGUUUGGAGGUUGGGGGGGUCACAUGGAGUCACAGAGACUAGCCUUGGUGGUACUGAAGGUUCAUGCACAGGUCAAUUAGGAUCAAUAUCAAGGCACAGAGGAAACAGGGUCACAGAGAGAAGGGGUGGUGGUAGUGAGGGGACGUGCACAGGUGAAUUAGGAUCACUUUGGAGGCAGAGGCAUCACACAAGGUCACAGAAAGCAGGACUGCAGGUAGUAGCAAUUCCUGGAUCAGAUUUGGAGGUCAUGGGGUCACACGUGGUCCUAGAGAACAGGGAUGCUAGCAGUAGAUGGUCAUGAAGAGGUCGAUGAGGACCAAUUUGUAGGCAGAGGGGUCACAGAGACCAGGGCCUGUGAUACUGGUGGGGUCCCUUUCAUCAACAGAAGUCGGUCCAAUAAAAUAUUUCUCUCACCACUGUUAUCUUUUGUCCAAGUUCAGGCAUGCUCAGAGCAUUGCUAUCAGAUUGGGCCCCAACAGGUAGAUAAAUAGGGGAAUGACUAGUUUGCAAACCCCACUAGGGCUUAGGCAUGAAUUAGGCACUGAGCUGCCAGGCAAUGUCAGAAUUUAGGCAGCUGGGUGUACCUAGCUGCCAAAAUUUAGGUGCCUCAGAUUAACAGUGGAAACUUAGAUGCCUACAAGGUUAGACAGCAGCUGAACAAGGGUUUUGUGAAAGCCAGUGGCAUCUAAAUAUUGGAUUUAGGAACCUAACUGCCACUUUGGGUGCCUAUAUCCCCCUUUUCAAUCCCACCCUGAGUGGGCAAGGAGGGACAUGGGGUAGUGCAGGAGACAGGAUACUGAUAAGGGGGAGGAGAAUGGAAAGGGAUUGAAUUCCAACUCCUGGGCAUUAGGAAAUAGAUAAGCGACACCAUUUUGUGUACCUAGCAACUAUUUAAGGUUGAAUUUUUGAUCCCAAACUGCUCACUUACAAAUGAGGGGCACAUAACUUUACUCUGAAGUCUCAGAAAUCAUAAGGCAAGUGAGAAACAGUGUGAUUUAUUUCUGUGGUAUCAUGAUUUUUAAGCCAAUCACAUUUUUAGUCUCAUGAUUUUUGGCAGAUUGGGGUUGGCAAUAUUGGGCAGCUGAUGAGUCAUAAAUUAACUAUCUUGACCCUAAUAAAUCAGUUUGGAUGUUGAUGAGAUUUCAGUCUCUCUCCUGAAGGUCAUGGGGAGGGUGCCUUGAUUUGUCUUCAUUGCAUUCUGUGAUGGAAAUCUUUUAUUCACUUAUUUUGUUCAAGGGCCGUUCUCUUCCAAUACUUAAAUUGCUGAAACUCAUCACUACAAGCCUGUAACAGCCAGCAAUAUUGCAGGGGGAAAAACUUCUAAUAAAAACCUCUGUUAGAGGGGAGUAGAAGCAGCUAAAGCAGGGACCUUUGGAAACCUUUCUACAGUUUUGACUGGACUUUCUAUACCCUGUGCUGACUGGCUGUUUGCUUCAUUCCUCCAUCUCCCUCAGAGGCUGUUCACCUCAGUGUCACUCCUCUUACCUCUCUCCCUUCACUGUAGAAUAUUCCCCCACUGCCUAAACCCACCCCACACACCAAAAAAUGGUGGAACCAUCACAUUGUUCACUCUGCUUGUGUGUUGUAUCCCUUCCUCCACCACAGACUGUGAGCUCUUUGGGACAGAGACUGUUUUUGUUAUGUUUGUACAGCACCCAGCACAAUAGGGUCCUGGCCCCUGACGAGGGGUCCUAUGUACCACAGUUAUACAAACAAUACUAAUAGCGUAUCUCUCUGUGGAAGCCUUCUUUGGGUGGAGAAAUAGUUGCCAGUUGGGUCCAAAUAAUGAGUAAGAAAUUAGGAGAAAUGGGAGGCUUUUGUGUGGGGUGGUACUUUUGGAGGAGUUGGGUUCUUUACUUUUGCAAAAUCCUGUUUCAAACAGGGUGUUCAUGUGAAGAGUUUUUAGAGAGUACAAUCUCAGAGGCAGCAUUGUUAUCUAUUGGCUUAUCUUGUAACUGCUACCAGAUAUUCUGCUUCUUCCUAAACUCCUUGGGACUAGUCAGGGUGGUAAGCAUUAUGCACUGUAGUGUUUGUAAAAUCAGUCCCUAUGUGUCUUAAACUUUGUGUACAAAAUAAUUAUUUUCAGGUGAGAGAACAGCUCACAACACAUUCACAAUACCUAGUAUGAAAAUGCAGCAGCUAGCUGGCUAUUAGUUUACUAUAAUUACAGCCCCAACCAAUGAAACUGUUUUUCUUGCUCCAAGUAAAAUGAAGGGGGGUGGGGGGGAGAAAAAGGUUACCAGAGAGAUAAAUAUGCUCUUGAUUACCCAGCCUCUUUUAUCAUAUUGCACUACUAAU